AAAAUACUUCAAGUCAUUUGAUUCAACAGAUGAUCUCUCAUUUCUUUCAAUCAACUACUCUAAUUAAUCUUGUUAAUUAGUAAUUUGUUUGGAAGAAUCAGCACAAAACUAAAUAUUUGGGUUGCUUUUUAUUUUUAGUUUGUUGUUUUCUUUUACUUGUCGCAUGUAUUACAUGGGAUACACAGGGCAUAUUUCUCUGGGGUCUGUGCAUCAUACAGGAUACACAUUCCCAAUGUUUUUCAACCACCAAAAGUAAGUUGGGACUUAUGAAAGGAAAGCUUUACAUUAUUCAGAACAUAUGAAAAUGCUUUGGACAGAUUAAAGGUUGCAGGACCUCAUCCACAUUGGAACUCCCUUCCAAUAUAUUUCCAUAUUCUGUGGAAGAUGACCAGCACACACCUCUCCCUCUCAUUCU